GAACUACGUACGGAAUGGAACGCAACAUGGGAGGGAGAAGCGUCAAAUCACGAUCAGUGGUUGUCGUCGUGGCCCACCACCACUACUAAUUACUUCUCCUGAUUGUGGUUGGGGCCCAUCGCGAGCACCCACCCACCUUUGCUUGCACGGCCCGCCCAUUCACCGGUUGAGGGGAGAAGGGAGAGGAGAGGUAGCUCAGUCCUCCUCUGACCGCCGACCCAUCCGCCAUGGCCGCCUCCUACGACCGCGAGUUCUGGAACUUCAGCGACCAGCUGCGCCUGCACAACAACUUCUCCAACCUCUCCAUCGCCGACCCCAUCUGGUCCUCCACCACACUGGAUCCUCCCUCCUCCUUCAGCGACGCCCCGGGCCUCAUAGGAUCCGCCAAGCUCGCCUUUGGCAACGCCACCACGGCCAACGCCGACCGCUACAACGCCAACGCCGCCGGUGUCGCCAGCAAGAGCAUGAGCGUGGGCAUGAUCGACCACUACCUCAACAAGAACACUAACAACGACGUCGUCAAGAGCUACUUCAACAAGUCCGUCGGCAGCAGGCCGGCCAACAACAACACCACCACAACCGUCAAGAAGAACUCCGCCGCCCACCACGACAAGAAGCACAAGAACUCCGGCAACGGCGCCGGCGUCGACAAGAGGUUCAAGAGCCUGCCGGCGGCGGAGGCGCUGCCCAGGGGCGAGGCCAUCGGCGGCUACAUCUUCGUCUGCAACAACGACACCAUGGAGGAGAACCUCAAGAGGCGGCUCUUCGGGCUGCCGUCCAGGUACAGGGAUUCUGUGAGGGCCAUCAGGCCCGGCCUGCCCCUCUUCCUCUACAACUACUCCACCCACCAGCUCCACGGCAUCUUUGAGGUGAGGCUGCAAGCUUCGGAGGAUCCAACAUCGAUCCAGCAGCUUGGGAGGACAAGAAGUGCCCCGGCGAGUCCCGCUUCCCUGCUCAGGUGAGGGUUGCAACGCGCAAGAUCUGUUCGCCGCUGGAGGAGGACGCUUUCCGCCCCAUCCUCCACCACUACGACGGCCCCAAGUUCAGGCUGGAGCUCAGUGUCCCUGAGGCGCUCUCCCUUCUUGAUAUAUUUGCGGAGAAGAUUUUUGACAGACAGACAGCCUGAUGUCUCCAUACUUGCUUCCAGUUCCAGAGGAGUAGUACAUGUAUAAUAUAAAUAUAAUAUGCUGAUUACCGACAUCUGAUUAUCUAUUCUAGUAUAAGUUACACUCGAACUUAGGCCCUCUUUGGAAUUAUAGUAUUUUUAUAGUUUUAAAACAAUACUAUGUUAUUUGGUGAUACUAUAGUAUUGGAGCUCAAAAGGUGUUUGGUUUGUACAGUCAAAACUCAGUUUUAAAUACCAUGGUUUACCAAAACUGUGGUAUUUUUGGAGUUUUCGAAACUCCAAUCAGGAUCUCAGUUUUCUUCUCCUCUA